CGAACGGGCGAGUAAUGCGUGACCAACCUGCCCCAUGCUCCAGAAUAGCUCUUGGAAACGGGUGGUAAUGCUGGAUGCUCCAACUUGACGCAUGUCUUGUUGGGAAAGUGUUUAGUGGCAUGGGAUGGGGUCGCGUCCUAUCAGCUUGUAGGCGGGGUAAUGGCCCACCUAGGCUUCGACGGGUAGCCGGCCUGAGAGGGCGGACGGCCACAUUGGGACUGAGAUACGGCCCAGACUCCUACGGGAGGCAGCAGCC
rnacentral:rRNA from 1 species